UACGUAGGGAGCAAGCGUUGUCCGGAAUCAUUGGGCGUAAAGCGCGCGUAGGCGGCCCUGUAAGUCCGCUGUGAAAGUCAAAGGCUCAACCUUUGAAAGCCGGUGGAUACUGCAGGGCUAGAGUCCGGAAGAGGCGAGAGGAAUUCCUGGUGUAGCGGUGGAAUGCGCAGAUAUCAGGAGGAACACCAAUAGCGAAGGCAGCUCGCUGGGACGGUACUGACGCUAAGGCGCGAAAGCGUGGGGAGCGAACAGG
rnacentral:rRNA from 1 species